GACGAACCGUUCGAACGUUGUUCGGAAUCACUGGGCUUAAAGGGCGCGUAGGCGGACUGCCAAGUCCGGGGUGAAAUCCUCCGGCUUAACCGGAGAAUUGCCUGGGAUACUGGCGGUCUUGAGGGAGGUAGGGGCACGCGGAACUUCCGGUGGAGCGGUGAAAUGCGUUGAUAUCGGAAGGAACGCCGGUGGCGAAAGCGGCGUGCUGGCCCUCUUCUGACGCUGAGGCGCGAAAGCCAGGGGAGCGAACGGG
rnacentral:rRNA from 1 species